rnacentral:tRNA from 2 species
UGCCGGGAUGCCCGAGCGGCCAAAGGGAGCAGACUGUAAAUCUGCCGGCGAUGCCUUCGGAGGUUCAAAUCCUUCUCCCGGCACCCA